CUGGUGAGGUGUUUGGCACUGCGAGAGAAGUGGAACACCAAAUGCCCCCCCUCCACUUUUCUGUUUUUGAUCAGCUGGUGGGCCCUGGGCUGCCAUGGAUGUCUACCUGAAAACCUUGAGGGCUCAGGAAGACACAUGGUUACAGGGAGAGGAGUGGCAGCUCGGAGUCGGGCAAGGCCACUCCCAAUGCCUGAAACACAGUGACUCGGGAAGCAGCCAGGGAGCCAUUCUUACAUUUCCCUGGGGCCGCGGUCUCCCUCCUUUGCACCCACAACACAGAGGGUCAGCCCCAGGACUGUGCUUGAGGUGCACUUUCCCCCAUAGACCUGUACAUCAGCCCCAAGCACUGGGCCAUCACCCAGUCCCUGGAACUCAAGCACACCAGUCAGCAUGUCCUGCAGUUGCCAACCUCAGGGGGGAGCCUUGGAGACCAAUGCAGGCCACAUAGUUGACACCUCUCCCCCAGAUAGUCAAUUCUCAUUCAUUCUCACCUUUUUGGCAAGGAUGGGGUAUUAUUUUGGAAAUGGAUGGCGACCUCCAUUUGAGAGAAUAGAACAUGAGCCAAAACAGCUUGCCAGUGAUUGCCAGUUCCCUCCCAGAUCGUCAUUGUCACCCCUGAAGCCAGUGACUUAGCAAAGCAGCAGGUCAAGCUGACUCCAUGUCUUCAUUUAAUGUGGGAACACCCUGUUUGUGAUGCCACUUGUUUGAAUCACCUUCUCCUCAGGUCCCUGAUGAGGCCUGAGGAGACAUGCUCCAGAUGUUUGGGGAUCCCCUGACACCUGCUACAUGCGAUUAACAACAGUUUACUAGUCACAUAUACUCACACUUCAGGGGAGAGGAUACCAAACACGGUGCAGGACUGCACAGAGAUUGCACUUGGGAACAGAGAGAAGGAGCAGGGCCUUGGAAGGGAAGACUUGGUUGAAACAAGAGGGCAGGCAAGUCCUGGUUCCCAUGGGAGGGUAUGAGUGGCUUCCUUGAAAAAUUCAGUGGGCUUCUAGAGAACUGAACACUACUCUCCCAAAACCAGUAGGCUCUUUGUCUGGUCCCUGUGAUGAGAAGGGUGUUUGGUUAAGAGACCUCCCCUGUGACAGUGAGAGGAGAAUGUGCAUGAUGCCAUUUGAGUCCCUCCUUGAUCUUCAGGUGUCAAGACAGCCCUUAUUACAGAAUCUUAAUUUCAGGCCUUAUGCCAUAAGAGGGUAUGACAAAGUAAUUCUUACCUUAUGUAAAGUAAGUUGUAUUCCUGUAUGCUAGCAAUGAAUAUAUGGGCUCCACAAUCAAACACACAUUCACAAUUACUCGUACAAAGAAAGUACUUCAGGAUAAAUCUAACAGUGCCUGUCCAGGCAUCCCAUGCUGAAAGCUAUUUAGCACUGAUACAGGAAGUCAAAGAUAUAAAUAAAUGGAGAAAUACACCAUGCUCGUGAUUUGGAAGACUAAGCAUUGUAAAGAUGUCAAUUCUCCCCAAACUGAUAGAGUUAAUGCAGUUCCUAUCAAAGUCCUGUCAGCUUUGUUUGUUUUUGUUGAAAUAGACAAAAAUAUUCCAAAAUGUAUGUGGAAGGACAAAGGAAUUAGAGUAGUUUCAAAAAUUAUUUUGAAAAUAAUACUAAUGUGUGAACACAGUCUACAGAGUUUCAGAACUUAGUAGUUAAAAUAAGGAAGGCUGUGUGCUAUUUGCAGGACAGAAACAUGGAACCGGGCAGAACAGGGGCACCUGGGUGGCUCAGUGGGUUAAAGCCUCUGCCUUUGGCUCAGGUCAUGAUCUCAGAGUCCUGGGAUGGAGCCCCACAUUGGGCUCUCACCUCAGCAGGGAGCCAGCUUCCUCCUCUCUCUCUGCCUGCCUCUCUGCCUACUUGUAAUCUCUGUCUGUCGGGUAAAUAAAUAAAAUCUUCAAAAAAAAUUUUUUUUUAAAAAGAACAGAGCAGAACAAAGAACCCAGGAAUAGUACCCACAAAUAAGCCCAACUGUUUUUUGAAAAGGGCACUAAAGCAACUCCAAUGGGAGAAAGCUGGGUUUGUACUCUCUACAGCCUUCUAAAGCUUGUGGAAGUCAGAGAGGCCAAACUCAGAAACAGCAUCAGCAGAGAAGAAUGAUGGUGGUGUGACCCAGGCCCUACCACGUCGACGCAGAGGAUGACAGAUUUAGUGGCCCCUGGGAAGAUGCUUCUGUGCAGAGGUCCCUGUUCCCUCUUCUGGGUGCUCUCUCCUUCCGUUCCAAACUCCUGUCCAAGAACAACGAGAUGAACAAUGUAGAAAGCAAAGCAGGACCAAACUGUAACAACAAGCAAUUACCCAACCAGAGUAGGAGGCUCCAGCCCUCUCUCAACAACUCAAUGCGGUCUACAGAGCAUCCACGAAAUACAGGUCUUGAUGGCAAACCAUCUGAAUCCCACAGCUGUCUCCAUACAUCUGUCCACAUCCACAUCCACUGUGGAGGACACAUUGAUUUUAGGCACAGAGACCAUUACAAAAAUGCUCCCGAUUUACUUUGGCCAUAAGGGAAAUUUCAAUAUGUUUCAGAGGCAUGAAAUCACACAGAACAUGUUGUGGUAACAUAAUGUGCUAGAAAUCAGAUAAAAAACUAACCAGAAAUUCCCAUAUGUUUAGACAGAGAGAAGAACCUCUAACAAUGAUAUAGGAGUAAAGAAAUAGAAAAAAAAGAGCUACAUUGGAACUGAAUGAUAUGAGUCAUGUUACAAUAGUAAUCAAAUAUGUCUUUGGCUGAGAAUAUCCUGGAAAUGUGGUGAGAACACUAUAUGGUCUCAAAAUCAUGCCUAAUAGACUGAACCCUAUAAAUCCUAUGUGAUGAAGGAGAACACAAAUCCAUCCUGACAUAGGCCUCCUGUCAUUUGCUACCAAUAUCCCACGUCCCUCCUCCAACCCUGCACAGUCCCCCAGAUGGACUGGCACCAUGUGGUGGCCCCAAGUGGCUCCAGCAAGGAUGUCAUGCUGUCCUCUGACUCAGGAAGUUGGAUGAAGUCCUGUAGACAUGCUCUGACUAGUAAGAUGUGUGAGGCAAUGAGACGUGCCAUCUUGAACAGAACACCUGGGACUGAGUCAGGCUCUUGUUCCGUCCAUCUCAUAUAGCACCUGGCAAUUACCCAUGGUGGGUGCUCUUUUAUCCUGGCCCCUGAAGAGCGUGUGGACAUGUGGCAGGUCCUAGAAACAUACUUCCCUAAUAGAAGCUGCUAAGGCACAGGGUUACAGGUUACUCACAGUAACAUCUGGCCCUUCCUAACUGGCACACAUCCUCCAGUCUUCU